rnacentral:snRNA from 1 species
AUCUGUUCUUAUCAGUUUAAUAUCUGAUACAUAUUAAACGCGUUUUUAAAACAGGGAGCCGAAUAAGGGGCUCCCUCCGUCCGCUCCACGCAUCGACCCGGUAUUGCAGCGCCUCCGGGAACAGUGC